UGGACAGAAAGACCCUAUGAAGCUUUACUGUAACUUGAAAUUGAAAUUGGACUUUAUUCGCGCAGCAUAGGUGGGAGGCGUUGAUUAUAAUCUUGCGGGAUUAUUGGAGCCAUCAGUGAGAUACCACCCUUGUAAUGUUAGAUUUCUAACUUUGAAUCAUUAUCUGGUCAAAGGACAGUUUCAGGCGGGCAGUUUGACUGGGGCGGUCGCCUCCUAAACGGUAACGGAGGCGUUCAAAGGUUUCCUCUGAACGGUUAGAAAUCGUAUCUAGAGUGUAAAGGCAUAAGGAAGCUUGACUGUGAGACCUACAAGUCGAGCAGGGACGAAAGUCGGUCUUAGUGAUCUGACGGUACUGAGUGGAAAGGCCGUCACUCAACGGAUAAAAGUUACUCUAGGGAUAACAGGCU
rnacentral:rRNA from 1 species